CAGUAGCAAUACUGUGGGUGGCGAGUGGCGGACGGGUGAGGAAUCAUCGGAAUCUGCCCAGUCGUGGGGGAUAACAUAGGGAAACUUAUGCUAAUACCGCAUACGACCUACGGGUGAAAGCGGGGGAUCGCAAGACCUCGCGCGAUUGGAUGAGCCGAUGUCCGAUUAGCUAGUUGGCGGGGUAAUGGCCCACCAAGGCGACGAUCGGUAGCUGGUCUGAGAGGAUGAUCAGCCACACUGGAACUGAGACACGGUCCAGACUCCUACGGGAGGCAGCAGUGGGGAAUAUUGGACAAUGGGCGCAAGCCUGAUCCAGCCAUGCCGCGUGGGUGAAGAAGGCCUUCGGGUUGUAAAGCCCUUUUGUCCGGAAAGAAAAGCACUGGAUUAAUACUUCGGUGUUCUGACGGUACCGGAAGAAUAAGCACCGGCUAACUUCGUGCCAGCAGCCGCGGUAAUACGAAGGGUGCAAGCGUUACUCGGAAUUACUGGGCGUAAAGCGUGCGUAGGUGGUUCGUUAAGUCUGAUGUGAAAGCCCUGGGCUCAACCUGGGAAUUGCAUUGGAUACUGGCGGGCUAGAGUGCGGUAGAGGAUGGCGGAAUUCCCGGUGUAGCAGUGAAAUGCGUAGAGAUCGGGAGGAACAUCUGUGGCGAAGGCGGCCAUCUGGACCAGCACUGACACUGAGGCACGAAAGCGUGGGGAGCAAACAGGAUUAGAUACCCUGGUAGUCCACGCCCUAAACGAUGCGAACUGGAUGUUGGGUGCAACUAGGCACUCAGUAUCGAAGCUAACGCGUUAAGUUCGCCGCCUGGGGAGUACGGUCGCAAGACUGAAACUCAAAGGAAUUGACGGGGG
rnacentral:rRNA from 1 species